UGACUCAGUAUUUCCUCUCUAGGGUGCCAGGGCAGGGCUGGGUGGACAGGCCCCCCCAACAAAUGUGAGAAGUAAACCGACAAGACUCAGCAAACUCAAGACUUGUCACUCAGUAGAGGAUUCCUGAAGUCUGACCCGGGAGGAAAAGGCACCCCAAGAGGUUGGCAGGAACUCUGUCUGUGUGUUGGCACGGAUGUACCACAAUUACCGAAGCUACCCACAGGCUCCUCUCAUUUCGGGUCCCUCGUGUCCUCGCUGAUCUAAAUGGAAAACAUCAGGACACCUUGCUUCCUGCCUGCUACCCCUGGACUCUUGCUCUCCAAGCAUCUGGAAGUGAAAGAAACAGUACUUUAGCUGUGCAUAAUGGAGCAUGCCUGCAAUUCCAGCGCCAUGGGAGUCUGAGGCAGAAGGAUUACAAGUUCAAGCCCAGCCUGAGCAGUUUAGUGACUUAGCAAGACCCUGAAACAAACAAACAAACAAACAAACAAACAAACAAACAAACAAAUAAAGUUGGGGAUGUAGCUCAGUAUCAAGGCUCUGGGUUCAGUUCCCAGUACAGAAAAAACAAAAUAAAACAAAC
rnacentral:lncRNA from 1 species